rnacentral:misc_RNA from 1 species
ACGCAAAUGAGGCCCGCUGG